UGGGGAAUAUUGCACAAUGGGCGCAAGCCUGAUGCAGCCAUGCCGCGUGUAUGAAGAAGGCCUUCGGGUUGUAAAGUACUUUCAGCGGGGAGGAAGGCGAUAAGGUUAAUAACCUUGUCGAUUGACGUUACCCGCAGAAGAAGCACCGGCUAACUCCGUGCCAGCAGCCGCGGUAAUACGGAGGGUGCAAGCGUUAAUCGGAAUUACUGGGCGUAAAGCGCACGCAGGCGGUCUGUCAAGUCGGAUGUGAAAUCCCCGGGCUCAACCUGGGAACUGCAUUCGAAACUGGCAGGCUAGAGUCUUGUAGAGGGGGGUAGAAUUCCAGGUGUAGCGGUGAAAUGCGUAGAGAUCUGGAGGAAUACCGGUGGCGAAGGCGGCCCCCUGGACAAAGACUGACGCUCAGGUGCGAAGGCGUGGGGAGCAAACA
rnacentral:rRNA from 1 species